rnacentral:rRNA from 1 species
CAGUCGCCACGGUAAUACGGAGGGUGCAAGCGUUAUCCGGAUUUAUUGGGUUUAAAGGGUCCGUAGGCGGACUUAUAAGUCAGUGGUGAAAGCCUGUCGCUUAACGAUAGAACUGCCAUUGAUACUGUAAGUCUUGAGUAUAUUUGAGGUAGCUGGAAUAAGUAGUGUAGCGGUGAAAUGCAUAGAUAUUACUUAGAACACCAAUUGCGAAGGCAGGUUACCAAGAUAUAACUGACGCUGAGGGACGAAAGCGUGGGUAGCGAACAGGAUUAGAUACCCCAGUAGUCCCUGUCUCUUAUAC